GGGGGAUUAGCUCAGUUGGUUAGAGCGCUUCCUUGACAUGGAAGAGGCCACUGGUUCGAGUCCAGUAUUUCCCACCA
rnacentral:tRNA from 1 species